UCCGGAUAUUUCUCCCGGAACACCUCAGGUGAUUAACCUGUCAACACAUGUACUGACCCAGAAUCAAAUUACUAUCCUGGAGAAGGGAUUUCAUUAUUAUGUGUUUUCCACAGUGAAAGACGUGCAUUAAUUUGCAUGCAAACUGGUUUUAAAGAAGAUUUUUUGUCAGAAGCAAGAUAUAAAUUUUUCCACAUCCACUGAACAUGAUGCCCUGAUGACAUUGAUGGCACUUUUGGAUGAACAAGAGGUAGUUCCAUCAGCGGGUAAAUAAGGAUAUGAGACAACCGCCCGGAAGACCGAUCGUGUCCGGAAUUAAUAGUUUGAAUAAAGCGAUCUGCAAAUAUGUAGAAUUAUUUUUGCAUCCGCUGGUAGAAACAUUACCCUCAUAUCUUAAGGAUCCGAGAUUGCGCGAUGACGAUGGAGGAGGAGGUGUGACCAAACGUGAAUGUUCAUUGGCUGGAUAGCAUGAGCUAGGGGUAUAUUUGGGAGGGAUGGGAGAUAGGUGAGUUUUGCCCUUGAUAAAGCGCGAUAGCGAAACGGAUGUUGGGCCGUUCCCUUGUACCGGGGUAGGUUUAAUGAUAUGUAAAUCACAGCUCUCAGACAUAUCUGUUGGACUCUGCGUGUCCUAUGAGUUUUUGCAGAUGUUCCUAGUGACACGUAGGUUAUAGAAGCCUGUUGGUACCGCUUUACUUCCAUGAUUAUGGGCGUGUGGUAUUACACCAUUAAGGUUGCUGAGCUGUAUUAUUGAUGUUUAUUUAGACCUGUAGAGGGAUUUCUUUCUUACAUCCUUGCACUUCUCAAUAUAUGUUUUUAGUAUUUAUAUAAUUGUCUUGAUGUGUGUUUAUCAAUAAAGCUUCUUGUUCAGUA